GACAGAGGGGGCAAGCGUUGCUCGGAAUCACUGGGCGUAAAGCGCGUGUAGGCGGCCCGGCACGUCAGUCGCUGAAAUCCCCCGGCUCAACUGGGGAACUGCGUCUGAUACUGGCGAGCUUGAGUGCAGGAGAAGGACGCGAAUUCCAGGUGUAGCGGUGAAAUGCGUAGAUAUCUGGAGGAACACCGGUGGCGAAGGCGGCGUUCUGGACUGCAACUGACACUGAUGAACGAAGCCAGGGAGCAAACGGG
rnacentral:rRNA from 1 species